GACGAACGCUGGCGGCGUGCUUAACACAUGCAAGUCGAACGGACGAGUGAGAUAAGUUUACUUAACUCACAAGUUAGUGGCGGACGGGUGAGUAACACGUGGAUAAUCUACCUGCAACACCGGGAUAACGCUGUGAAAACGGUGCUAAUACCGGAUACGUUCCCUUGUGCGCAUGUAUGAGGGAAGAAAGCUCAGGCGGUUGCAGAUGAGUCCGCGGCUGAUUAGCUAGUUGGUGAGGUAAAGGCUCACCAAGGCGAUGAUCAGUAGCCGGCCUGAGAGGGUGAACGGCCACACUGGGACUGAGACACGGCCCAGACUCCUACGGGAGGCAGCAGUGGGGAAUCUUCCGCAAUGGGCGCAAGCCUGAUGCAGCGACGCCGCGUGAGGGAUGACGGCCUUCGGGUUGUAAACCUCUUUCAGCAGGGAAGAAGCGAAAGUGACGGUACCUGCAGAAGAAGCACCGGCUAACUACGUG
rnacentral:rRNA from 1 species